AUACUGAAUUUGCAGAACCAGGUUGGUAAAUAAUCAGUCACCUUGGUGCCAGGCAUAUCUCAGAUUUCCAUCAGACCCCUUGGUAGGCUGCUAAAAAAAAUGCACCACAAAUUGAUAGGAUGUGGCGAUGUGCAACGUACUCAAGCCCACAUAAUUGAGGAAAUUUUUAAAAUUGAGCAAGGCUUCCAAUGUAUUGCAGUUGGUAGUACAAGAGUUAUAAGAGCUGCUGCCAAUUAGCAGGGAGAGGGUGAAAGAGAGAGAGAGAGAACUAAUAAUGGACGUUACGUCUAGCCCAAACAAAAAAAAUCGGUGGGCUAAACAAAUUUUCUGUAGCUAUAUUAACCAAAGGACAUAUUCCCUAUCACUUACUAUAGUAUUUGAAAAUUUCAAUUGAUGGGUUUACAUAUUUGUUACCAUCAAGCUUUCUUCUUUAAUAUCCGUUGAGCUUUUAAGUCCACUACAAUUACAGUGAUAUUGUCUUUGCUUCCCUUCUGAAGAGCGAGCUUCGAGAGGCAUUCUGCUGCAGCUUGAGCCGCAGGAUCGACUCCUUCACCCCUUUCUGCAGACAUGGUAUCACCAUUCCUUUUAUGCCAAAGAAGAAUUCUUCUUCUAGCAAUGUCACAAGCCUCUUGAUUUGUCAUGACGUCCCAUAAACCAUCACUUGCAAGGAUAAGGCACUCGUCUUCUUUUGCUCGAGGAACAAACAUCACUUCGGGAUCAGUGAUAAUCCAUGGCUUCAAAUAUCUAUCACCUAUGGACCUUGACACAGCAAGAACACCAAAAACGCGAGACCCAUUCCACUGUAUGAUCUUGCCUCCUGCUGCCUCUAUCCUUGCAUAUUCAUCUUCUCUAUCUGGUUUGUGAUCUACUGACAAUGGCAUAGCUACUUUUCCACGACACAGAACUGCUCUCGAGUCGCCACAAUUUGCAACAAUAAUGUAAGUUGGACAAACAAUGGCAACCACUGCAGUUGAACCAACAGUUUCAGGG
rnacentral:misc_RNA from 1 species